UACGUAGGGGGGCAAGCGUUUGUCCGGAUUUAUUGGGCGUAAAGAGCGUGUAGGCGGCUUGACAGGUCUGCUGUGAAAACUCGAGGCUCAACCUCGAGAUGUCGGCGGAAACCGUCUGGCUAGAGUCCGGAAGAGGAGAGUGGAAUUCCUGGUGUAGCGGUGAAAUGCGCAGAUAUCAGGAAGAACACCUAUGGCGAAGGCAGCUCUCUGGGACGGUACUGACGCUGAGACGCGAAAGCGUGGGGAGCGAACAGG
rnacentral:rRNA from 1 species